GAGGAGUGAUGGGCAGACCCGGCACAUCCCUCAGGCACUAGACCUAUCACAAGUGGACUCAGUUCCCUCCCACCCUGCUUCGCUGUGCCCCAAGAACACUGAUCUGUUUGCGAUGAUUGAAAAGAUGCAGGGAAGCAGGAUGGAUGAACAGCGAUGCUCCUUCCCACCACCCCUCAAAACGGAAGAAGACUACAUUCCCUACCCAAGCGUUCACGAGGUCUUAGGGCGAGAAGGGCCCUUCCCGCUCAUCCUGCUGCCCCAGUUUGGGGGCUACUGGAUUGAAGGCACCAACCACGAACUCACCAGCAUUCCUGAGAUGGAGCCACUGCAGUCGCCCACAACCAAGGUGAAGCUGGAGUGCAACCCCACAGCCCGCAUCUACCGGAAGCACUUUCUUGGCAAGGAACAUUUCAAUUACUACUCACUGGACACUGCCCUCGGCCACCUGGUCUUCUCCCUCAAGUAUGACGUCAUCGGGGACCAAGAGCACCUGCGGCUGCUGCUCAGGACUAAGUGCCGGACGUACCACGAUGUCAUCCCUAUCUCCUGCCUCACAGAAUUCCCCAAUGUGGUCCAGAUGGCAAAGCUGGUGUGUGAAGAUGUCAAUGUGGAUCGAUUCUACCCUGUGCUCUACCCCAAGGCUUCCCGGCUCAUCGUCACCUUUGAUGAACAUGUUAUCAGCAAUAACUUCAAGUUCGGAGUCAUUUAUCAGAAGCUUGGGCAGACCUCCGAGGAAGAGCUCUUCAGCACCAAUGAGGAGAGCCCUGCCUUUGUGGAGUUCCUUGAAUUUCUAGGCCAGAAGGUCAAACUGCAGGACUUCAAGGGGUUCCGAGGUGGCCUGGACGUGACCCACGGGCAGACGGGGACCGAGUCCGUGUACUGCAACUUCCGCAACAAGGAGAUCAUGUUUCAUGUGUCCACCAAGCUGCCCUACACUGAAGGGGACGCCCAGCAGUUGCAGCGGAAGAGGCACAUCGGAAACGACAUCGUGGCAGUGGUCUUCCAGGAUGAGAACACGCCCUUCGUGCCCGACAUGAUCGCAUCCAACUUCCUGCAUGCCUAUGUGGUGGUGCAGGCCGAGGGGGGUGGCCCUGAUGGGCCCUUCUACAAGGUCUCGGUCACCGCGAGAGAUGACGUGCCCUUCUUUGGGCCCCCUCUGCCAGACCCUGCUGUGUUCAGGAAGGGGCCUGAGUUCCAGGAAUUUUUGCUGACAAAGCUGAUCAAUGCUGAAUAUGCUUGCUACAAAGCAGAGAAGUUUGCCAAGCUGGAGGAGCGGACCCGCGCUGCCCUCCUGGAGACGCUGUAUGAGGAACUCCACAUUCACAGUCAGUCCAUGAUGGGCCUGGGCGGUGAUGAGGACAAGAUGGAAAACGGAGGAGGUGGAGGCGGUUUCUUUGAGUCCUUCAAGCGGGUCAUCCGGAGUCGCAGCCAGUCCAUGGAUGCCAUGGGGCUAAGCAACAAGAAGCCUAACACUGUGUCCACCAGCCACAGCGGGAGCUUCACUCCCAACAACCCUGACCUGGCCAAGGCAGCUGGAAUAUCAUUGCUUAUUCCUGGGAAAAGUGCAAGUAGAUUCGGACGCCGGGGCAGUGCCAUAGGCAUAGGAACCGUGGAAGAGUCCCUGAUUGUCCCUGGGAAGAGCCCCACAAGGAAGAAGUCAGGCCCGUUUGGCUCCCGCCGCAGCAGCGCCAUCGGCAUCGAGAACAUCCAGGAGGUGCAGGAGAAGAGCGCCAGGCCCCGAGCUGAAUCCUCUCGCUGCCCCUGUGUGCCCCGCAGGGAGAGCCCUCCGGCUGGCCAGAAGACCCCAGACAGCGGGCACGUCUCACAGGAGCCCAAGUCGGAGAACUCUUCCACUCAGAGCUCCCCAGAGAUGCCCACAGCCAAGAACAGAGCGGAGACAGCAGCCCAGAGAGCAGAGGUGCUGAAGGACUUUUCCCGCUCCUCGUCCAGUGCCAGCAGUUUCGCCAGUGUGGUGGAGGAGACGGAGGGCGUGGACGGGGAGGACACAGGCCUGGAGAGCGUGUCAUCGUCAGGGACGCCCCACAAGCGGGACUCCUUCCUCUACAGCACAUGGCUGGAGGACAGCGUCAGCACCACCAGCGGUGGCAGCUCCCCAGUGAGGUGGCUCCCUCCUGCCCCCCUCCCCAGGCCUGUCCCGGUCACCCCACCCAGACGCCGGCAAGGUGGGGGACCCUGCGUGUCCCGAGAUCAAGAUCCAACUGGAAGCGUCUGAGCCACACACUCCCCAGCUGGGCUGUUAGCCGGCCACCCGGGAACUGGAGCUGAGCAGAUGAGGCCACAGAAGCACAAGGUGAAGAGGCUGUGUCACAUCCGGGCAGCCAGGACCUCUACCCCCAAGGCCAACCCCAGCCCCGGUUCCCCUGCUUCCCACCUCCCCUCCGCCCACCCAUCUGGGUGCUCUCCGCAGGGCGGAGCCACCCAGACCUGGGGCCGGGAAGUUGCUGGCGUCGUCCCACUGGCCCAGGCAGUGCUCAGCUGAAGCAGGACUGCAGGCGGGGCUUGCCCUGCCCUGAGCCUCCAUCACCCAGCUGCCCCUCUGGGUGGGGGAGCAAAGUGGGCGAGGGAGGCGGAGAGCUCAGUGCGUGCCGCUGCCUGUGGAGGUGGUGGGGUGUGAGUGUGUGGAGUGAGCACUGGGCUGCCAGCUUCGGGUUCCGCUGUGUGGCUCUGCCCAAGUGGCUCACCUUCUCUGGUUGUCUCUGCCACGUGUGGACAAGAUUAUUUCAGAGGUCACUAGAGACUGUGAUUCUGCGCACCUGACCCAGAGGGGUUGGUGUCAGUGGGCCUUCCUAUCACACUGCCCUGCUUCUUGAGGUCCCUGAUGCCCCAGGUGGGCUGAGGGCCUGCGAGCUGGCCGUGCCCACUGCCCCCCCGCCCAGGACCUCUAAGCUGCACCACAGAUCUGCCGAUUCCCUUCCACUGCCUACACAUGACAAACCGGUGACCUCCUUCUGAGAGAAAGGGACCCACCUGGCUCCUCAGCCAGCGCCCAGCUUAACCCCUGCAUCCCUCGCUCCUGGGCGCUCCAUGCUGAGGGGUCUCCACCGGCCCCCAUGCUGUGGAGGGGCAGCCAGGCACAGCUGCUGUGAGUCCAUGUCCUUGUGUGUGUCUGUCUACACUUUAGGUGCCACGCCAAAGGCCAGCCUUCUGGCCACACCCCCACUUUGGAAGCCCCGUGGCCACGUGUAUGUUGGUAACAGUUGUACAAAAUAAAUUCUAUUUAUCGCUAUUGUA